rnacentral:rRNA from 1 species
GACGAACGCUGGCGGCGUGCCUAAUACAUGCAAGUUGAGCGAUGAAGAUUGGUGCUUGCACCAAUUUGAAGAGCAGCGAACGGGUGAGUAACGCGUGGGGAAUCUGCCUUUGAGCGGGGGACAACAUUUGGAAACGAAUGCUAAUACCGCAUAACAACUUUAAACAUAAGUUUUAAGUUUGAAAGAUGCAAUUGCAUCACUCAAAGAUGAUCCCGCGUUGUAUUAGCUAGUUGGUGAGGUAAGGGCUCACCAAGGCGAUGAUACAUAGCCGACCUGAGAGGGUGAUCGGCCACAUUGGGACUGAGACACGGCCCAAACUCCUACGGGAGGCAGCAGUAGGGAAUCUUCGGCAAUGGACGAAAGUCUGACCGAGCAACGCCGCGUGAGUGAAGAAGGUUUUCGGAUCGUAAAACUCUGUUGGUAGAGAAGAACGUUGGUGAGAGUGGAAAGCUCAUCAAGUGACGGUAACUACCCAGAAAGGGACGGCUAACUACGUG